rnacentral:sRNA from 1 species
AAAAAAUUUAGUUUAACUAAAAUAUAUACCGCAGGUUAAUAUCUAGAUUAUAGGGCUUAUUGGAUCUAAAGACGGAUCAUCAAAGAUUUCUUAAACUGAAGCAAAAUAUAUUGAAUAUUCAAAUAUCUAUCUGUUACCAAAUUAUAAACAAAUAAGUCAAUUUAAUAUUUUAUAUACGAAAUCAAUUAAAUCUUAAUCACAUAAAAAUUAGCACAAAAAAGUAUUCAUCAAUUAAAAAAAUAUCAAAUCUCUGUGUUAUAUAAGUUUUGAUACUAUAUUCGAAUAAAGUGUAAUAUACCUUUUCAAUUUGUAUUCUUUAACUAACUUAAGCUAACUAAUAUAUUUGCUAAUCUUAUACCUAUCAAAACCGACUAUCGUUUCUUAUCUCUAUAGUAUUUUUGCAAGACUUUUUUGGUGGAUUUGGAUAAAAGUGCAUUCGGGUCAUAUGGUACAUUCUCCUAUUAAAUAAAUAUGGUGCACUCCUAUGUUAUUAUCUAAAAUAUUUACAUUCUAAUUCAGAGUCAUAUCAUUAAUAAAAUUAAUAUUAAUAAAAUUAAUAUUAACAAAAUAAAUAGCUUUUUGGCAAGACGGAUUUGGAGGGACGGAUUUUUGAAUCAACAUUAAUAAAAAAGUAAAAUAUAAUUAAUCCAUCGUUUUAAUACGGGUUAGAUCUUUAAUUUAUUAUUUUUUAAGACCACUAAUAUUAAACAUAUCAAAUCAUCCUAAUUUAGAAAAGAUUAUAUAAAACCAAAAAUGUAAUGUGGUAUGUAUAAUGUUACUAUAUAUAAAAUUAAACUAUAGAUAUAAAUGUAUUAGAGAAUGAUACAAUUUGCAAAACUUUUCUAUAUAAAAAAUUAUUCUUAAAUUUUAAAAAUUACUAUUUUAAAAAAAAAUCACGGGACGGUAAAAAAAUUACAGAACGAGUUCUAUUUUGGAAUUGGGUUAUAUGGUGGAUGUAUUUGAAUCAAUAUUUAUAAAAUUUUAAAAUAUUAUUAAUAUGCUGUUUUAAUAGGGGUUAAAACUUCAGUUUUUUAACAAUUAUCUCAUGGAUUCGUGGUAUACCGUUACUUAAUAACAAUUAUAAACUGUAUAAUAUAAAUAUUUUAUAAAA